rnacentral:rRNA from 1 species
AACGAACGCUGGCGGCGUGCUUAACACAUGCAAGUCGCACGACGGUUUGGUGGAGCUUGCUUCAUCGAAUACGGAGUGGCGGACGGGUGAGUAACGCGUAGGUAACCUGCCCUGAAGCGGGGGAUAGCCCGGGGAAACCCGGAUUAAUACCGCAUAAGCUCACGAACUGGGAUGUUAGUGAGAAAAGGAGCAAUCCACUUCAGGAUGGGCCUGCGUCCUAUCAGCUAGUUGGUGGGGUAAUGGCCUACCAAGGCAGAGACGGGUAGCCGGACUGAGAGGUUGAACGGCCACACUGGAACUGAGACACGGUCCAGACUCCUACGGGAGGCAGCAGUGGGGAAUUUUGCGCAAUGGGCGAAAGCCUGACGCAGCGACGCCGCGUGGAGGACGAAGGCCUUCGGGUUGUAGACUCCUUUAGUGCGGGAAGAAGCCGCAAGGUGACGGUACCGCAAGAAUAAGCCACGGCUAACUCCGUGCCAGCAGCCGCGGUAACAC